rnacentral:rRNA from 1 species
ACGGAGGGGGCGAGCGUUAUUCGGAAUUAUUGGGCGUAAAGGGCGCGUAGGUGGCUUGAAAAGUCAGGGGUGAAAUCCCUCGGCUCAACCGAGGAACUGCCUCUGAAACUGUCAGGCUCGAGGCCGGGAGAGGGUAGCGGAAUUCCCAGUGUAGCGGUGAAAUGCGUAGAUAUUGGGAAGAACACCUGUGGCGAAGGCGGCUACCUGGACCGGUUCUGACACUGAGGCGCGAAAGCGUGGGGAGCAAACAGG